GAGUUAUUAGCUCAGUCGGCAGAGCAUUUGACUUUUAAUCAAAGGGUCCGGGGUUCGAAUCCCCGAUAGCUCA
rnacentral:tRNA from 1 species